UGGGGGAUAUUGCACAAUGGGGGAAACCCUGAUGCAGCGACGCCGCGUGGAGGAAGAAGGUUUUCGGAUUGUAAACUCCUGUCGUUAGGGACGAUAAUGACGGUACCUAACAAGAAAGCACCGGCUAACUACGUGCCAGCAGCCGCGGUAAAACGUAGGGUGCAAGCGUUGUCCGGAAUUACUGGGUGUAAAGGGAGCGCAGGCGGGAAGACAAGUUGGAAGUGAAAACCAUGGGCUCAACCCAUGAAUUGCUUUCAAAACUGUUUUUCUUGAGUAGUGCAGAGGUAGAUGGAAUUCCCGGUGUAGCGGUGGAAUGCGUAGAUAUCGGGAGGAACACCAGUGGCGAAGGCGGUCUACUGGGCACCAACUGGCGCUGAGGCUCGAAAGCAUGGGUAGCAAACAGGAUUAGAUACCCUGGUAGUCCAUGCCGUAAACGAUGAUUACUAGGUGUUGGGGGAUUGACCCCCUCAGUGCCGCAGUUAACACAAUAAGUAAUCCACCUGGGGAGUACGACCGCAAGGUUGAAACUCAAAGGAAUUGACGGGGGCCCGCACAAGCAGUGGAGUAUGUGGUUUAAUUCGAAGCAACGCGAAGAACCUUACCAGGUCUUGACAUCCGAUGCAUAGCACAGAGAUGUGUGAAAUCCUUCGGGACAUCGAGACAGGUGGUGCAUGGUUGUCGUCAGCUCGUGUCGUGAGAUGUUGGGUUAAGUCCCGCAACGAGCGCAACCCUUAUUGCCAGUUACUACGUUAAGAGGACUCUGGCGAGACUGCCGUUGACAAAACGGAGGAAGGUGGGGAUGACGUCAAAUCAUCAUGCCCUUUAUGACCUGGGCUACACACGUACUACAAUGGCGUUAAACAAAGAGAAGCAAGACCGCGAGGUGGAGCAAAACUCAAAAACAACGUCUCAGUUCAGAUUGCAGGCUGCAACUCGCCUGCAUGAAGUCGGAAUUGCUAGUAAUCGCGGAUCAGCAUGCCGCGGUGAAUACGUUCCC
rnacentral:rRNA from 1 species